AUUGGAUCAGCCGUUUUGAUUCAGUCCGCACUACCUAGUGAAAUAUGAAUAUCGCUCAUGCAGUUAGAAUAAAGCAGCGCAUUUUUCGAUUUCAAUCCUCGUAAAUGAUAUGUUGAUAAACAAAUGACGCCAUAUUGAUUUUGAUUUUGGGUAGCCUAUAUUCAAUUGAUGUCUAACCCCUGAUGAAAACAAAGGGAAAAUGUCAGUGGGAUACCCGAUAUGUUGGCUCCUGUCAGUUCAAUGGGAGUUCUCUAAAGACGUCACCCACUUGAUUUUGAUUUGAUGAUGAAUAGAAACAGCAUUCGAAGUUAAUUGGAUUUUCAUUAUUAACUAACUUGUUAUUAUAAUUGUGAAACUAGACUAGAAAUUUAAAUACCCUAUUAUAUUAAAUUUAUUAUAUAAAAAUAUCUAGUAGGAAUCCAAUUCUUUGAGUUGAUAUCAUCGGGAACCUUGGUGAUUUCUUCUACUUAGACCUCCAAACAGUAAACCCUACCCCAACUAUGUAACAAGAGAUCUGAAUGUACUUUUAAAACAUUUGUUUCACGUAUCCAGGUGGACAUUAUCUGUACCUCCACAGCACCGUAGAUGUUUCGAAGUUUAUUGCUGUGCAAUAUAAUGUAUUUCUCAAAAUAAGAACAUGUCUUCAUAUCUGACAUCACUGAUCAUACCGAGAAAAAGUGUCAGAAAUCUUUCCCGUCUACCAAAUGAACCAUUUCAAUCAAACUCGUGUACUGGAAUAGAAUAUUUCGCUCGUCUCGACAGUGACUAAAGUUGAGACGAGACGAGGCUAAUUGCUAAAUUAAUAAGGACCAGUUUAUCGGUUCCCUUCCUACUAACAUUAGAAUAAGUUAAAUUGUGAAUACAUAUUAGAUGUAAGGAUAGUUUUAAGAAUUGAGUGUGAAGUGUGAGGUUGAAUGAGAAUGUGAAUGUAAAUGCGAGUGUGAGUGUGAACAUUGCUACAAUAUCCUUACAUCCCAUCCUUUUCCCGAUCAAAGUGUGUCACCCUUCUUAACUCGAGUCGACCGCGAGUAAUCGGUUUCCUAUUUUAUUAACCAUAGAAUUAAAGAAACAUGUUGAUAUUUUAUAGUAAAAAUAUAUUUAAGAGCGUGGCUCCUUUAAACCUAUGUAACUGAGCCUGUAAAAAUAAACGGAUUAAUAAAAAAAGGACCAGUUAGUGUUCGCCCAGUUAAAAAGCAGACCAGUUAGCGAACGAUUACUGUAGUUCAUUGAUAGGUUGUAUAACAAUAUUCGAUAGUUACACUUAUAACGGUAUUUGUUUAUUUUAUUUUUGCAAAAUAUUUUUUGGAUUAAUACUGUUCUCACAGUACCUAAAUUUCUUUGAUUCAAUUUUAUUCUUCAGAGUACCAAAA